rnacentral:rRNA from 1 species
CGGACCUGACUGCUAUCGGAUUGAUACUAAGCCAUGCGAGUCGUUGUAGCAAUACAAGGCAUACGGCUCAGUAACGCGUAGUCAACCUAACCUAUGGACGGGAAUAACCUCGGGAAACUGAGAAUAAUGCCCGAUAGAACAUUAUGCCUGGAAUGGUUUAUGUUCCAAAUGAUUUAUCGCCAUAGGAUGGGACUGCGGCCUAUCAGUUUGUUGGUGAGGUAAUGGCCCACCAAGACUAUUACAGGUACGGGCUCUGAGAGGAGUAGCCCGGAGAUGGGUACUGAGACACGGACCCAGGCCCUAUGGGGCGCAGCAGGCGAGAAAACUUUGCAAUGUGCGAAAGCACGACAAGGUUAAUCCGAGUGAUUUCUGCUAAAGAGAUCUUUUGUUAGUCCUAGAAACACUAACGAAUAAGGGGUGGGCAAGUUCUGGUGUCAGCCGCCGCGGUAAAACCAGCACCUCAAGUGGUCAGGAUGAUUAUUGGGCCUAAAGCAUCCGUAGCCGGCUCUGUAAGUUUUCGGUUAAAUCUGUACGCUCAACGUACAGGCUGCCGGGAAUACUGCAGAACUAGGGAGUGGGAGAGGUAGACGGUACUCGGUAGGAAGUGGUAAAAUGCUUUGAUCUAUCGAUGACCACCUGUGGCGAAGGCGGUCUACCAGAACACGUCCGACGGUGAGGGAUGAAAGCUGGGGGAGCAAACCGGAUUAGAUACCCGGGUAGUCCCAGCUGUAAACUAUGCAAACUCAGUGAUGCAUUGGCUUGUGGCCAAUGCAGUGCUGCAGGGAAGCCGUUAAGUUUGCCGCCUGGGAAGUACGUACGCAAGUAUGAAACUUAAAGGAAUUGGCGGGGGAGCACCACAAGGGGUGAAGCCUGCGGUUCAAUUGGAUUCAACGCCGGA